GGUGUUGUACUUUAAAAAAAAGGUUAAGUUUGCGUCUUAGAAUUAGGUUUUCCUCAAUACCU
rnacentral:tRNA from 1 species